rnacentral:lncRNA from 1 species
GUCGACUGCAUUUCGUCAUCUCGCGCAUUUACGGAACCUUCUGGGAAGGACUACGGAGGACGCGGUUUCCAACCCAGAAAUUUGUCACCAUGUGUGGUGGGCUCCUUCUGCAUCAGCUCACCAAUUUCUAAUUCACCACUAAUGUUCACUUGUUACUGUUUCAAAAUGUUUACUGUGGCUCGGCAAAUAACAAACCAUGGUUUGAUUAAGAUAACCCACCCCUUUAGCAGCCCUAUAAAUACAACACUCAAGACUGGGUUUUUGCUUAGUGAAGUAGAGAAAGAGAGACAGUUAUUCCUCAUCCAGGUUUUUUCCCCUUUCCUUGUGAUUAUAUAUUGCCAAUCACUAUAAUAAUUACCUGAUUUUUUUUAAUUAUUAAUAUUAUUUUGGUGUUAUACUGAUUGGAUGUUAUAUUUGAUCAGUUCAGAAAGUGAUCUGAAGACGAGAGGGGGCACAGAUACUACUACUUGUGGUUUGAUCUAAUUUAGUAGUUUCCCCGAUUUCUUUGAAUCAUUGAUUUUGUUUCUCUCAAUUCUUUUGGAUGAUUUUAAUUCUUUUUCGUUUAUGGGUAUUUUGUUAUGUUUAUUGAUGCUUCAUAUUCUUGCUGUUUGAUUGAUUCUUGUUGCAGCAUACUUUCCAUUUUCAUGAAAUUGGCACUUUCACUUUGUAUUGUCAUUUGAGAGCUGUUCAUAUGCAUCAUAAUAUUGAAUUCUUUCGGUUGAGCCUUUUUUAUUUAUGGGUUUUUAUCAAAUAUGGAAAUUAUACUGAUCUUGGCCUUAUUUGAUCUAUUCUAUAAGCAAAUUGUGAUGAUAAUUGUAGUUAUGAACCCAAAGAUGAUUACUGACUCCGAAUUUAUUUUGUGCUGCGUGGUCCAAUUCUUGACAAGUCCUCAAGUCAAUAUGAGUCAAUGGUUGUGUGAUAAAAAUAGUAUUAACCAUUCAGAAUGAUAAAACAUGCACCCUCUUGGGUUUUUUUUAACAUCACUUUGUCCAAUUUCAUUCUUACUUAAAUUUAUACAUACUUUAGCAUAGAUUGCUUUGUUCAAUUUCAUUCAUUCAUUCAAACAUGCAUACAUGCCUAUGUAUGUAUAUAGAUCCAUAGCCAUGUGUGGAUGCCUACUAGCUAGUACAUCUAUGUUUUUCUGGGUGUAAAAAUGUAAAAUUCUAUGUGCAUAGAGUUGCUACUUAUUAUGUGUUCGCGGAUCUUUUAUAUUCGUCAUAUUAGACACUGGCUCAAGGUUUGUAUUUGCUUAAUUUUUAAGUCCAAGGCUACCAACGGUACAUGCAGUGUGCACAAAUUUUUAUAAUAAAACCACUUUGAAAAAUCGACUCUUCAGUUUACUGCACCAACUUCUGAUAGUAAUUUUUGGUUUCUUUCUUCACUAUUUUA